rnacentral:rRNA from 1 species
GAUGAACGCUAGCUACAGGCUUAACACAUGCAAGUCGCGGGGCAGCAUGGGGGUUGCUUGCAAUCCCCGAUGGCGACCGGCGCACGGGUGAGUAACGCGUAUCCAACCUGCCCUUCACCACGGGAUAACCCGGCGAAAGUCGGACUAAUACCGUAUGUUGUCCAUUGACGGCAUCCGAUUUGGACGAAAGGUUUGGCGGUGAAGGAUGGGGAUGCGUCCGAUUAGCUGGACGGCGGGGUGACGGCCCACCGUGGCGACGAUCGGUAGGGGUUCUGAGAGGAAGGUCCCCCACACUGGAACUGAGACACGGUCCAGACUCCUACGGGAGACAGCAGUGAGGAAUAUUGGUCAAUGGGCGUAAGCCUGAACCAGCCAAGUAGCGUGCAGGAUGACGGCCCUAUGGGUUGUAAACUGCUUUUAUGCGGGGAUAAAGUGGCCCACGUGUGGGUUUUUGCAGGUACCGCAUGAAUAAGGACCGGCUAAUUCCGUG